rnacentral:lncRNA from 1 species
AUCCUGCACUGGACCAGAUGAAAACAGGGUCCUGAUGUAUGGGAUGUCUAUGGUAGGAAGUUCCAAGCAGGGGAGGGUUGGUACUUACAGACUUGCAUCGCGAGUUUGAAACGUUAAAAAUAUUGAGACGGAAGCUCUGAGUUCCUGAACUGGAGAUUCCAGGAUGAACUUGGGCGACUCACUAAGAAGCAACUAUGGGGCAGGCCACCCACCAUGCCCUGCACUUGCAGGUGUGUGUACACAUGCCUGUGAAGGCACACCCAUGGAAAUGGAAAGUGCUGACUUUCUCUGCUACUCACAGUUAACAGCCUCACUUGGAAUUUCUGUCUGCGCAGCUUCCAUUCAAACUCUUCUAACUGCCUGUGGGCUUGCAGAGGCUCCAGGAUACCCACCCACUCUUGCCUGUUCCCUGGCUCUUCUCUUUCAGAUUCUUAAAAAUAUAUCCCCUGUGGACAGAUGACUCCAUCUCUAGCGGUGCUCAUGGAAGCUCACCUGCCUGCCUUUGAGUUUGUGAAAUAGGAUGCUACUUUCUUUCCUUUAGAGACCAAACACGAAGCCCUCUUCUCUUUGCAGCCUCCAGAGGGCAGUGUUCCCCUUUUAUUCAUCCCGGCUUAGGGCGGUCUGAAGCAGUUGCUUGGGGUCUUGUUUAAACAGCAGCAGAAGGGGAAUGGCCAACGACGACAAAGGCGCAUCGGUUUACAGCGCCAGAAAGAUGCUUACAUGCUUAUACAGUGUCAUAGUUCCCCUUGAUUGCUCAGAAGAUGAGAACUCUGCAAUGUAAAACUGAGUCAAAGCCUCCUACAAAGAAGACUGAUAGUGAUCUGAAGUUUGUGUGUGAAGUGGGAGGCGGUGGGGAGAGGGAUUCCCCUGUCCCUGGAUCAGCACUGGCACGGGAUGAUGUGAGACAAAAAGAAAUGUAGCCUGGAUUCUGAAGGAUACAUAGGAGAGCUUUGGGCUGACAAGAGGAGAAGGAAAAAUCUACCCGUGGAUAGAAGAAGGGUCAUGCCAGCCACCAGAGGGAAGCCUGGAGACAGAAGAUGCCCUGCCAGGGGGUUGGCCUUGCAGGGUGCGCGGGGUCACGUGGGAGACACUGUGGAGGGUACCUCAGAGGCUGGCCUUUGCUAACGGAUAGCCUUGUGGCAGCGAAGGCAAGAUGCCUGCUUUGUUGACUUUCUCCCAAAUUUCUGUGUCCAGAGGAAACUGUACACUACCACUCCCCUGUAGUUGUUCCUGAUUCUUGGAGUGCUGAGGAGGGCAUUUUGAUUGGAGUCUGGAUGGGGAAUUUAAGGUCAAUACAGUAUGUGUACACCCAUCGCCCUCUGUGUGGAGGAAGUGCUCCAUGCUUCAGUGGUUAAGAGCACUUGCUGCUCUGGCAGAGGACCAGCGUGAUGUUCCCAGCACCCACAUCCGGCAAUUCACAAUUGCAUGUAAUUCCGACCGCUAGUCAUUCUACUUUCUCUUCUGGCCUCCCUGGGUACCUACAUGGGCCUGUAGACUGACUCUCUCUCUCUCUCUCUCUCUCUCUCUCUCUCUCUCUCUCUCUCUCACACACACACACACACACACACACUGAAAUAAACCUUUAAGGGUUAAAAAAAAAACCCAAGUGUUUUGUGUCUUAGGAACAUGUGUCACCAUGUUCCUGCUCUGAUGAGAAGCCCCACUUGCAGUGACUGUCACGACAGCUCCCGUAGAUGGCGGCCUAUAAUGGAUUGGAUUCCAUUAUAUAAUGUAGUGGAUUACAUUAUAACUUGGAUUAUCUUUGGUCACAACUAAGUUGUAUAAAACACCAGUAAAAAGUUGCUAGUUUUAGGAGGUCCUUGUGGAAAAGGUGUUACUAUUGUGCUUUAGAUCCUAUGGAAAUAUGAGCUAGUUUCUGCUUAAUCUCUGAAGAGAGUGCUUACAUGUGGGGUUCAUUUCCAACUCAAUAGAAAAAUUAAGGGUUUUUGUUGUUGUUUUGGAAAUACAAAAGGUUCUUUUCUAUGUGACAAGGUGAUCUAUAAUGACUUUUCUCCAGCUUCAUAAAAGUGGUGAUAACAGGCCACAACGUCUCCAUUCUCCUUGGUUGUAGUCUUGGUUCCUCCAUACUUCAUUUAGGCUUUCACAUCACUGUACAGUGAGAGAUUCUUUGUAGUAUGAAUAG